UAGGGAAUCUUCGGCAAUGGGGGGAACCCUGACCGAGCAACGCCGCGUGAGUGAAGAAGGUUUUCGGAUCGUAAAGCUCUGUUGUUAAGGAAGAACGAGUGUGAGAAUGGAAAGUUCAUGCUGUGACGGUACUUAACCAGAAAGGGACGGCUAACUACGUGCCAGCAGCCGCGGUAAUACGUAGGUCCCGAGCGUUGUCCGGAUUUAUUGGGCGUAAAGCGAGCGCAGGCGGUUAGAAAAGUCUGAAGUGAAAGGCAGUGGCUCAACCAUUGUAGGCUUUGGAAACUGUUUAACUUGGGUGCAGAAGGGGAGGGUGGAAUUCCAUGUGUAGCGGUGAAAUGCGUGGAUAUAUGGAGGAACACCGGUGGCGAAAGCGGCUCUCUGGUCUGUAACUGACGCUGAGGCUCGAAAGCGUGGGGAGCGAACAGG
rnacentral:rRNA from 1 species